AGUCGAACGAUGAAGCUGGAGCUUGCUCUGGUGGAUUAGUGGCGAACGGGUGAGUAACACGUGAGCAACCUGCCCCUGACUCUGGGAUAACAGCCGGAAACGGCUGCUAAUACCGGAUAUGCACCAUGAACGCAUGUUCUGUGGUGGGAAAGAUUUUUCGGUUGGGGAUGGGCUCGCGGCCUAUCAGCUUGUUGGUGAGGUAAUGGCUCACCAAGGCGUCGACGGGUAGCCGGCCUGAGAGGGUGACCGGCCACACUGGGACUGAGACACGGCCCAGACUCCUACGGGAGGCAGCAGUGGGGAAUAUUGCACAAUGGGCGAAAGCCUGAUGCAGCAACGCCGCGUGAGGGAUGACGGCCUUCGGGUUGUAAACCUCUUUUAGCAGGGAAGAAGCGAGAGUGACGGUACCUGCAGAAAAAGCGCCGGCUAACUACGUGCCAGCAGCCGCGGUAAUACGUAGGGCGCAAGCGUUAUCCGGAAUUAUUGGGCGUAAAGAGCUCGUAGGCGGUUUGUCGCGUCUGCUGUGAAAACUGGAGGCUCAACCUCCAGCCUGCAGUGGGUACGGGCAGACUAGAGUGCGGUA
rnacentral:rRNA from 1 species